UACUCGAGUGGCGAACGGGUGAGUAACACGUGGGUGAUCUGCCCUGCACUUUGGGAUAAGCUUGGGAAACUGGGUCUAAUACCGGAUAGGAACCAUCUUUAGUGUGGUGGUUGGAAAGUUUUUUCGGUGUAGGAUGAGCUCGCGGCCUAUCAGCUUGUUGGUGGGGUAAUGGCCUACCAAGGCGGCGACGGGUAGCCGGCCUGAGAGGGUGUACGGCCACAUUGGGACUGAGAUACGGCCCAG
rnacentral:rRNA from 1 species